CCUACGGGAGGCAGCAGUGAGGAAUAUUGGUCAAUGGACGAGAGUCUGAACCAGCCAAGUAGCGUGAAGGAUGACUGCCCUAUGGGUUGUAAACUUCUUUUAUAUGGGAAUAAAAUGUUCCACGUGUGGGAUUUUGUAUGUACCAUAUGAAUAAGGAUCGGCUAACUCCGUGCCAGCAGCCGCGGUAAUACGGAGGAUCCGAGCGUUAUCCGGAUUUAUUGGGUUUAAAGGGUGCGUAGGUGGGUUUUUAAGUCAGUGGUGAAAGUUUGCGGCUCAACCGUAAACUGGCAGUUGAAACUGGGAGUCUUGAGUGCGCUAGAGGUAGGCGGAAUGCGUGGUGUAGCGGUGAAAUGCUUAGAUAUCACGAAGAACCCCGAUUGCGAAGGCAGCUUACUAGUCUGCAACUGACGCUGAGGCACGAAAGUGUGGGUAUCGAACAGGAUUAGAUACCCUAGUAGUC
rnacentral:rRNA from 1 species